UUAGUGGCGGACGGGUGAGUAACGCGUGGGUAACCUGCCCUAUACUGGGGGAUAACAGCUAGAAAUGGCUGCUAAUACCGCAUGAGCGCACAGUCCCGCAUGGGACAGUGCGGAAAACUCCGGUGGUAUAGGAUGGACCCGCGUCCGAUCAGCUGGUUGGUGGGGUAACGGCCCACCAAGGCGACGAUCGGUAGCCGACCUGAGAGGGUGACCGGCCACAUUGGGACUGAGACACGGCCCAAACUCCUACGGAAGGCAGCAG
rnacentral:rRNA from 1 species